rnacentral:rRNA from 1 species
GGGGAAUAUUGCACAAUGGGCGCAAGCCUGAUGCAGCCAUGCCGCGUGUGUGAAGAAGGCCUUUUGGUUGUAAAGCACUUUAAGCGAGGAGGAGGCUACUCUAGUUAAUACCUAGGGAUAGUGGACGUUACUCGCAGAAUAAGCACCGGCUAACUCUGUGCCAGCAGCCGCGGUAAUACAGAGGGUGCGAGCGUUAAUCGGAUUUACUGGGCGUAAAGCGUGCGUAGGCGGCUUUUUAAGUCGGAUGUGAAAUCCCUGAGCUUAACUUAGGAAUUGCAUUCGAUACUGGGAAGCUAGAGUAUGGGAGAGGAUGGUAGAAUUCCAGGCGUAGCGGUGAAAUGCGUAGAGAUCUGGAGGAAUACCGAUGGCGAAGGCAGCCAUCUGGCCUAAUACUGACGCUGAGGUACGAAAGCAUGGGGAGCAAAC